CUCCCAGAGUGCUGGGAUUACAGGGUGAGCCACUGCACCCAGCCAACAUUUCAUUUACUUAUUCAUUCAAAGUAAAUUGUAGACAUCUGUAUUCCUCACCCUUAACAUUUCUUGGUCUGGGUGGUUUCUGAGCCCUGACGGCCACCAUCCCCCUCUUCCAGGUUCCAUGUAAACCUGCUGUGCGGGGAGGAGCAGGGCUCCGAUGCCGCCCUGCAUUUCAACCCCCGGCUGGACACGUCGGAGGUGGUCUUCAACAGCAAGGAGCAAGGCUCCUGGGGCCGCGAGGAGCGCGGGCCGGGCGUUCCUUUCCAGCGCGGGCAGCCCUUCGAGGUGCUCAUCAUCGCGUCAGACGACGGCUUCAAGGCCGUGGUUGGGGACGCCCAGUACCACCACUUCCGCCACCGCCUGCCGCUGGCGCGCGUGCGCCUGGUGGAGGUGGGCGGGGACGUGCAGCUGGACUCCGUGAGGAUCUUCUGAGCAGAAGCCCAGGCGUGCCCGGGGCCUUGGCUGGCAAAUAAAGCGUUAGCCCGCA
rnacentral:sRNA from 1 species